rnacentral:rRNA from 1 species
GACGAACGCUGGCGGCGUGCUUAACACAUGCAAGUCGAACGGUGAAGCGCCUUCCUUUUUGGUGGGUGUGGAUGAGUGGCGAACGGGUGAGUAACACGUGAGUAACCUGCCCCCUUCUUCUGGAUAACCGCAUGAAAGUGUGGCUAAUACGGGAUAUUCUGGGUCUGUCGCAUGAUGGGUCUGGGAAAGAUAUUGUUUCGGUGGGGGAUGGGCUCGCGGCCUAUCAGCUUGUUGGUGGGGUGAUGGCCUACCAAGGCGGUGACGGGUAGCCGGCCUGAGAGGGUGGACGGUCCCACUGGGACUGAGACACGGCCCAGACUCCUACGGGAGGCAGCAGUGGGGAAUAUUGAACAAUGGGCGCAAGCCUGAUGCAGCGACGCCGCGGGAGGGAUGGAGGCCUUCGGGUUGUGAACCUCUUUCGCCAGUGAAGCAGGCCUGCCUCGUUUGUGGGUGGGUUGACGGUAGCUGGAUAAGAAGCGCCGGCUAACUACGUG